UGGUAGAAAACCUUGUGUGUUUCUGAGGCAUAUAUCUCAGUGUAUGUUUUCCAGGUUCCUGGGAGGAAAUCCCAGCUAACCAGAGACAUGAUUAGGGGAUGUGUCUGCUCUCAGGGUAAGUGAUGAUGUGUGCCAUAAACUUACCAUAGUUACGUGAUCUGCACGUAUCUAGGUCAGUGAGGUUCCUUUUCCUGAAUGGUUUACUGUGUGAUGGGUUUAUGGGUAUUCCAGUAAGAAAGGGUAGUGGCUCCUUGUUCUCCUUGCCAGGUGGUCCUGUUGUUUUCAGUCUGGGAGAGAGCGUAUGAGGUAUGUACCCUGUGAGUGUUGAUUGAUUGGCACGUACCCAGGGAACUCACGUGACACUGUGCAUCAUAGGAGUAACUGCGGUGGAUUUGCAGAGAAGCCGGCCAGAGAAAAUGCCAUGUCCUACAAGGAGGGCCUGCAAACAUCCAGGUACAAUUCUGGCUACCACAAUGAUGAUCAUGAGCAGGCAGUUUGCAGGGUCCUGGUAGAAAUGCUGUGUCCAUAGAAACAUUGGUCACAUAUAUGGUUUCAAGUUCCCAUGGAGAGGUUACAGGAAACCUCUUUGUGCUUGAGCAGAGGACUGUGCCUGAAUUUAGGGCGGUGAUGGUGUGGGCCUAAGCAGGCCACGGAGUAUCUGAUCUUCCCAUACUCAGGUAAAUGCGGAUGGCUUUCUGGCUCUUGUCCCUGUCCUGACAUGGGUUCCUUAUCUCAUUUUCUGUUCUUUAUUUUAUGCAGUUAUUCAGUUAAGAAACAAUGCUUUGCCAACCAAGGCUAGUAAGCAUUAGUCCUUGCUAUGUUCAACUUUGGGAAAAUGUGCCUUGAACAUGAGUCCGUGUUGGCUGAGGAAGAUGUGGGUGUCCAGGUAAAUUCUCCUACUCCACCAGACGACAGGAUGGAAUGAUAAUUCUGACCCAUCCUCAGUCCGGAGCCAGUAAUGGUGCCAGCAGUGAGGUGAAGUUGGAGUUUUGCCAGGAUCUAGGUAAGGUUGAUGGUUCCCAGAAGUACAGCAGUGACCAGGCCAUGUGGUAUGUGUCCUUUUUGUCUUUCAGGUGUGCCAAGUGGCAUCCCGGAAAACACCUGUCAAAUGCAUUUCUUCUGCUGCUGUUAGUCACAUGAUCAAGGCCAGUCUGAGAAUGGCCAUUUGGGGGCCCUGGAUAGUAACCAGGUUCCUGUCAAGAGAUUAUAACAAACCUAACAAUGAUCAUUAUCAGGGACUAUUUCUGGUAUCCAGGUAAGUGAUGAUGUGCAUUUUAAUGACAUCACAGACCAUCUGGUCUUUACAUAUCUAGGUAAGUGAUGUUUGUUUGCCUAAACUUGUUUACCAUGUGAUUUUUUUAAAAAAACAAUUCUAGUAACCGUGUUACCCUAUUGUUCUGUGUUUUCAAGAAAAUAUAUUUUUUACGCUGUGAGUGACUCACAUCCAGGUAAUUUUCAAUAUGUUCUGCAUCACAGUAUUAUCCAUAGUAUUUUUACAGGUGUGCCAUCAGAAAACAAUGGUGUCUUUAACCAUGGUAUAGACCUUGUGUUGAUGCAGGUUUCCAGGUAGAGAUGUUUCCUGCAUUAAUGGAAGUGAAUAAGGUUAUUUGCAAUUGUCCAAGUUGAAAAGGUGUCUGUAUUCACAUUUGUCAUAAUAUGUUUUCAAGUUCCAGCAAAAAGAUCAUGUUGAACUUCAUAAUGAUGAUUAAUGGGGAUUUUGCAUGUAGACAAGUGAUUAUGUGGGCCUUAAGCAUCCUACAGAUCACGUGAUCUUCAGAUAUCUAGGUAAGUAUACAUGAGGUCCCUAACAUUUGUGUUAUCAGAGGUUUUUUGUGAGUAUUCAUGUAAGAAAUGAUAGUCUCCUAAUAAAUACUUGGAAGCAAUAACCCUUUCUGUUUGAGUUUAGGUAUAUGUUUAACCUUAGUAGCAUCUAAAAUAUAUUUAGGUAUCCAAGUAAGUUAUAAUUUUGCCCAAUACCUAUAUAUUGACCAUGACAUUUUUUUUCUUUUUUGCAGUUAUCUUGUCAAGACAACAACGUGUCUCUAACUAGGUUGUCGACUUUGAACAUCUGAAUGUCUCCAGAUUCCAAUUAAAAGAUUAUUGAAAACCUCCCUAUGGUACUGAAGGCAAGAUUUUUCCUGCAUCCAAGUACAAGAUGAUGUUGGUACCAAAGGAGAUAUCCAGGUAAGCAAUAAUGGUGUUCUUAAGCCAACAUAGUGACCAAGUUUGUUUGCAGGCAUUCUUGUAAGUUAUGUUGACUAACCACCAUAGUGACCAGGGGAAUUUUGCAGAUAUCCUAUUAAGCUAUGAAGAUGUCUGUAACUAAGGUGUUUUCCUUGGAAAUGUGCAGGCAUCCAGAUAAGAGUUGAUGGUGACCCUAAUCAAGAUCACGACCAUGGGAUUUUGCAGUUAGGCAAGGAAUGAUGUGCCCUUACUGCGAUAUUUAUCUUGGCCUUUUUAGGUGUUCAGGUUAGAGAUGGUGUUUGUCUAAUACAUUAGUGGCCAUGGGGUUUUUUCAAGUAUCUAGUUAGAAGAUGAUAGUGUCUGUAUGUAUAGUGCUAACCUCUGAAUUUUGCAUGUAUCCAGGUCAAAGUUGUUCUGUCCCUUACCAUGUUAGUGGUCUUAGGAUAUUUUAGAUGUCCAGAUAAAGGGUGAUAUGUCCUUAACCACAUUAGUUACCAAGCAAUACUGCAUGUGUCCAGUUAAGAGAUGAUAGUGGCCCCAACCAUGGUAUUGACCAUGAAUUUUUGCAAUUUUCCAGGAUACAGAUGGUGUUUCACUACCUUCAGUAUUGACCAUGUGGUUUUACAGGCAUCCUAGCAAGAAAUUAUGUAUCCACAAUUCUGUUUUUUAUCCUCAGAUUUAUUUAGGUAUUAUGGAAAGAGAUAAUGGUGUUCCUAACAUUUACUGACCAUAGGCUUUGAAGAUACCCAGCCAAGAGAUGAUGGAGUCUCUAUCAAUGUUGGUGUCCAC